ensembl:snRNA U6 U6 spliceosomal RNA
AUGCUUGCUUUGGCAGCACAUAUACUAAAAUGGGAACAAUUUAGAGAAGAUUAGCAUGGCCCCUGCACAAGGAUGGCAUGCAAAUUCAUGAAGCAUUCCAUAUUUCU